rnacentral:rRNA from 1 species
AGAAUCAACGCUGGCGGCGUGCCUAACACAUGCAAGUCGAACGGGAAAGUGGAGCAAUCCAUGAGUAUAGUGGCGACCGGGUGAGUAACACGUGACUAACCUACCCUUGAGUGGGGGAUAACCUCGGGAAACCGGGGCUAAUACCGCAUAACAUCUUCGGGAUGAGAAGCUGAAGAUCAAAGGAGCAAUUCGCUUUCGGAGGGGGUCGCGGCUGAUUAGCUAGUUGGCGGGUAACGCCCACAAGGAUUUGAUCGGUA